UUGUGCAGCCACAAAAGCUUCUGAUAAAUGUGGACUUUCACUGCAGACUCCUUUAAAAACAUCACUACAGGUUGUUAAAACAAAUGUCACCACACGGUAUUGGUGUGUGCUUGUGUCUGCAGAGAGUUCACCUCCAAUGGUCUGGCUGGCUCCACAGCACCCCCACCUGGGGAGAAAAACAAGAAACCAAAGGAGAAGAAAUGGAGUUGUUCUUGGUUUUUGAAGUGCUGUAGUGUAAGUAAAGCAUAGGAAUACCAGUCUGGACUUCAGUGUUGUUAUAAGCAUUAGUUUUGGUUUAUCUUUCAGUUGAUUCUGUUACUGACAAACCAAAAUUAUUUUUACUCCAUUAGAGAGAAAAGCGUGUGUCUCCUCUCUCUGAUCAUAAAGAUCAGCAAAAGCCUCCUCGG